rnacentral:rRNA from 1 species
CACGGAGUUAGCCGGGGCUUCUUUACCUGGUACCGUCAUUAUCUUCCCAGGCGAAAGAGCUUUACAACCCUAAGGCCUUCAUCGCUCACGCGGCAUGGCUGGAUCAGGGUUUCCCCCAUUGUCCAAGAUUCCCCACUGCUGCCUCCCGUAGGAGUCUGGGCCGUGUCUCAGUCCCAGUGUGGCUGAUCAUCCUCUCAAACCAGCUAUGGAUCGUCGGCUCGGUAGGCCGUUACCCCACCAACUACCUAAUCCAACGCGGGCCGAUCCCUCGGCGAUAAAUCUUUCGUCCGUAGACCGUAUGCGGUAUUGCCCCAAGUUUCCCUGGUAUAUUCCGCACCGAAGGGCACGUUCCCACGCGUUACUCACCCGUCCGCCGCUCGCCCCGAAAGGCGCGCUCGACUUGCAUGUGUUAGGCCUGCCGCCAGCGUUCGUUCUGAGCCAGGAUCAAAACUCU